rnacentral:rRNA from 1 species
AUUGAACGCUGGCGGCAUGCUUUACACAUGCAAGUCGAACGGUAACAGGGAGCUUGCUCCGCUGACGAGUGGCGAACGGGUGAGUAAUGCGUCGGAACGUGCCGAGUAGUGGGGGAUAACGCAUCGAAAGGUGUGCUAAUACCGCAUACGUACUGAGGUAGAAAGUGGGGGACCUUCGGGCCUCACGCUAUUCGAGCGGCCGACGUCUGAUUAGCUAGUUGGUGAGGUAAGGCUCACCAAGGCGACGAUCAGUAGCGGGUCUGAGAGGAUGAUCCGCCACACUGGGACUGGGACACGGCCCAGACUCCUACGGGAGGCAGCAGUGGGGAAUUUUGGACAAUGGGCGCAAGCCUGAUCCAGCCAUGCCGCGUGUCUGAAGAAGGCCUUCGGGUUGUAAAGGACUUUUGUCCGGGAGCAAAUGCUGGUGGCUAACAUCCACCGGAGCUGAGAGUACCGGAAGAAUAAGCACCGGCUAACUACGUGCCAGCAGCCGCCGUAAAAC